GCCCACCGCGGUGGACAAGUACAACAACCACGCAUCCCGCGUUAGAAAUCCUAAUUGGGCGGUGUCGCCAUACAAUCGAUUUUCGAACUUUGAAGCAAAAUCUGAGAAAAUGGAGGAUGAGGAUCGGACGAAUGUACUGGUAAAUCGAAAUCUGAUUGAAAGUUGAUUGUGGAGGAAUUGGAAGAAAAUUUGGAUCUUGCUUGAAGAUGUUCGAGCUUCGGAGCUACAGGAGGUCAACCACAUGGGAAAGGGAGAUAUUCAAGUUUGGCAAAAGAGCAUAGUGGAGUGAGUGCUGGUUAGAAGGAGUGGCAAUUGUCUUGUAUAGGAAAUUUGGAUGAUAGUGAACCUCAAAUUCUGAAAGAACUUGACAACACAAGAGAUCAAAGUUCAGUUGUUUUUUAUUUGUUAUCAUGCAUGGACCCUCUUAUAAUCGUUGCUUCCUAAAAGGAACUCCCAUUAAAUGUAUAAAUUUUUGGUGUUGACACAUGUCUUGUAGACAUUAAUGAAAGAGGUUUCAUGCA